rnacentral:rRNA from 1 species
AUUGAACGCUGGCGGCAUGCUUUACACAUGCAAGUCGAACGGUAACAGGUUAAGCUGACGAGUGGCGAACGGGUGAGUAAUGCAUCGGAACGUGCCCGAUCGUGGGGGAUAACGCAGCGAAAGCUGCGCUAAUACCGCAUACGAUCUGAGGAUGAAAGCGGGGGACCGUAAGGCCUCGCGCGAUCGGAGCGGCCGAUGUCAGAUUAGGUAGUUGGUGGGGUAAAGGCUCACCAAGCCAACGAUCUGUAGCUGGUCUGAGAGGACGACCAGCCACACUGGGACUGAGACACGGCCCAGACUCCUACGGGAGGCAGCAGUGGGGAAUUUUGGACAAUGGGCGAAAGCCUGAUCCAGCAAUGCCGCGUGCAGGAAGAAGGCCUUCGGGUUGUAAACUGCUUUUGUACGGAGCGAAAAAGCUCUCUCUAAUACAGGGGGCUCAUGACAGUACCGUAAGAAUAAGCACCGGCUAACUACGUGCCAGCAGCCGCCGUAA